rnacentral:ncRNA from 1 species
CCCUGACAGACGCGCUGUGCGUCUGACACUAGCCUAGACAGGAGAUUCACAUG